UUAUUUUAGCGGCGGACGGGUGAGUAACGUGUGGGCAACCUACCUUUUACUGUGGAAUAAUCGUUGGAAACGACGACUAAUACCGCAUACGGUUCUUGGAAGGCAUCUUCUAAGAAAGAAAGGAGUAAUUCGGUAAAAGAUGGGCCCGCAUCUGAUUAGCUAGUUGGUGAGAUAAUAGCCCACCAAGGCAACGAUCAGUAGCCGACCUGAGAGGGUGACCGGCCACAUUGGGACUGAGACACGGCCCAAACUCCUACGGGAGGCAGCAG
rnacentral:rRNA from 1 species